UUUGUUGAUGGAACUAGAUCAAUUGAAAGGUUUGAUGCAAAAAAUUGUAGCUGUCAUUCUUCUGCUGCUGUUCCUCAGUCUGUUGUCCCUUCUUGUUUCAAUCUUUUGCUUUUAUUCAGAUUUGAGGAACAGUUUGUUGUUGCGUUGUUUAGC